rnacentral:rRNA from 1 species
UACGUAGGGUGCAAGCGUUGUCCGGAAUUAUUGGGCGUAAAGAGCUCGUAGGCGGUCUGUCGCGUCGGAUGUGAAAACCCAGGGCUCAACCCUGGGCCUGCAUUCGAUACGGGCAGACUAGAGUUCGGUAGGGGAGACUGGAAUUCCUGGUGUAGCGGUGGAAUGCGCAGAUAUCAGGAGGAACACCUAUAGCGAAGGCAGCUCGCUGGGACGUUACUGACGCUGAGGCGCGAAAGCGUGGGGAGCGAACAGG